rnacentral:piRNA from 1 species
UGGCACUCCUGAGUCACAUCGCUCC